UGAAGCGCUUCAGUUGACCUCGGAUGCAGCAUUGAAGCAGCUCCAGUUUGACAUCAUGCAUGGACACGCUGUCCAACACCAGUCAGUCCUUGCUGUCCAACACCAGUCAGUCCUUGCUGUCCAACACCAGUCAGUCCUUGCUGUCCAACACCAGUCAGUCCUUGCUGNCCAACACCAGUCAGUCCUUGCUGUCCAACACCAGUCAGUCCUUGCUGUCCAACACCAGUCAGUCCUUGCUGUCCAACACCAGUCAGUCCUUGCUGCCUGGUCACACCUGGAGCUGCGCACUUGGCCGUACAGGUGUGUCAGCACAAUGACAAGGUGGAAAGGAAGCAGCGACUCAUCGAGCUGAGACAGAUUUGGAUCGACUCCCCAGAGCGAGUAAAAUGCAGGGAAUCCUUGACUGUAUGGCAAACGCUUGCAUGCAGCACACUUGGAUUAAACUCGACACGAAGCAGAAUAUUUUGAUUAAACCAAGUCAUCUCCCUCCUCCGAACUCAUCCGAACUCCUUAUCGCUCCUCCACUCCCAGGUAAUGGAGAUGUGCAAACUUUCUCCUGGGUUCAAAGUGUGAGGAAUGACUCCUGUAAAUGAAUCUUUAUCUGCUCAGGAAGAUAUUGGGUGUUCAGAGGAGUCUGGUGCCGCGGCUGCAUAUCUGCAUGUCCACAGUCCAGCCAACACACCUAAAUCAGAUAAUCAGGUCGUGUGCAUGAGGCACGAUUUCAUUUCAUCCAGGUGUUUUCUUCAGAUUAAAUCAGUUUGAGCCAACGAAAAAGCUGGAA